AUUCCAGAUCAUCACCCCUCUAAGUUCAGGCCCCAGACUACUCUGAUUCAAAUAAAUCAGGUGGCAAGUCGGGAAUGACAGCAACUCGCAUCAGGGCCUGGCGGUGUCUAUGAAAUGCUCCAGGUGACCUUCUCCAGAAGGCACUUUGGUUUCCGCCGGGGAGCAGCGUGGCCUCCUGAGCCGGUUCCCCGCCGCGUGCCGGGGAAUGCACCACCCGGGAGGAGAACCCCGCGGCUCCGGCACGAGGGUGUGCCCCGACACUGUCUUCCACUCAAGAGCUCUGCGACUCUCCUGCCACCUGCCAACCCCGACCACCUCCUCCGGGCUGCAACUCCACCCCGCACCCGGGCUGCUGCUCCGGCUCCUCGGGUCUGUGCCCGCCGCCCGAGUGACCUCCCGCCGGGGCCCGGGCGGCUCGCCCUGGCCGGAGGGGCCGGAAAAGGCCGAGAGGCCUGACCUCCCGUGGGGCUUCCCUUCCUUCCUCCUGGGCAGCGCAGCCUGGAGCCAGCAGCUCUGCACCGGCCGGGCCUGCUGGGGCGAAAAGCCCCUUACCUAUCUUCACGACCGCAUCCGCCAGACACCGGUCCCACUUCCUGCCGAGCUCCGACUCAGACAUGUUCCCCACCCGCGCCUCCAGCUUUCCUCUCGGCCGGCCCCCGCGCUCCGACCCCUGAAAGUCUCGCGAGAGCUGGAAACAAGUCCCAGGUUGUAAAUUCAGCUUCCUUAACGUCGCAGAUUAGAAUGUUCUACACCACAGCACCUGCAUAAAUAAAGGUCUUUUA
rnacentral:lncRNA from 1 species